GGAAGGAUGAGAAGCUUCGACUAAGGUUCGAUUCGAGCGUCAGCGAGAAAGCGUUGCCGCAGGCAACGACCCGAAGGGCGAAGCGCGCAGCGCUGAGUCAUCCUUCCCCCACCACCA
rnacentral:sRNA from 3 species